rnacentral:rRNA from 1 species
AGGAGAGUUUGAUCCUGGCUCAGAACGAACGCUGGCAGCGUGGAUUAGGCAUGCAAGUCGAACGGGAUCCGGGGGAUAGCAAUAUUUCCCGGUGAGAGUGGCGGAUUGGGGAGGAACACGUGAGCAACCUGCCCUGGAGAUGUGGAAAACCGUUGGAAACGACGGCUAAUACAGAAUGUGGCGUCCGAUGGCAUCAUCGGAACGCUGAAGGGGGCCGCAAGGCUCCCGCUCCGGGAUGGGCUCGCGCACCAUCAGCUUGUUGGCGGGGUAACGGCCCACCAAGGCUUACGGUUAGCUGGUCUGAGAGGAUGACCAGCCCCACUGGGACUGAGAUACUGCCCAGACUCCUACGGGAGGCUGCAGUCGAGGAUCAUUCGCAAUGGGCGAAAGCCUGACGAUGCGACGCUGCGUGGAGGAUGAAGGCCUUCGGGUUGUAAACUCCUGUCAUGGGGGAAGAGGCGAGGGGACCCAAUACGUCCCUUAGUUGACUGUACCCCAAGAGGAAUGGGCGGCUAACUCUGUGCCAGCAGCCGCGGUAAUACAGAGGCCCAUAGCGUUGUUCGGAUUUACUGGGCGUAAAGGGCGCGUAGGCGGCAGGGCGUGUCAAGUGUGAAAUCUCCGGGCCCAACCCGGAAAGUGCGCUUGAAACUACCUUGCUCGAGGCCGGGAGAGGGAAUCGGAAUACAGGGUGUAGCGGUGAAAUGCGUUGAUAUCCUGUAGAACACCGGAGGCGAAGGCGGAUUCCUGGAACGGUACUGACGCUGAGGCGCGAAAGUCGGGGGAGCAAACAGGAUUAGAUACCCUGGUAGUCCCCU